rnacentral:rRNA from 1 species
AGGAGAGUUUGAUCCUGGCUCAGGAUGAACGCUGGCGGCGUGCCUAACACAUGCAAGUCGAACGAAGCGUCCCGCCCGAAGAGAAGGAGUGCUUGCACAAUUUUAAUUCAAUUGGGAUGACUUAGUGGCGGACGGGUGAGUAACGCGUGGGUAACCUGCCUUAUACAGGGGGAUAACAGUUAGAAAUGACUGCUAAUACCGCAUAAGCGCACAGAAUCGCAUGAUACAGUGUGAAAAGCCGAGACGGUAUAAGAUGGACCCGCGUCUGAUUAGCCAGUUGGCAGGGUAACGGCCUACCAAAGCGACGAUCAGUAGCCGGCCUGAGAGGGUGAACGGCCACAUUGGGACUGAGACACGGCCCAAACUCCUACGGGAGGCAGCAGUGGGGGAUAUUGCACAAUGGGGGAAACCCUGAUGCAGCGACGCCGCGUGAGCGAAGAAGUAUUUCGGUAUGUAAAGCUCUAUCAGCAGGGAAGAAAAUGACGGUACCUGACUAAGAAGCUCCGGCUAAAUACGUGCCAGCAGCCGCGGUAAUACGUAUGGAGCAAGCGUUAUCCGGAUUUACUGGGUGUAAAGGGAGCGUAGACGGUUUGCCAAGUCUGAUGUGAAAGGUGAGGGCUCAACCCUUAAACUGCAUUGGAAACUGGUAGACUAGAGUGUCGGAGAGGUAAGUGGAAUUCCUAGUGUAGCGGUGAAAUGCGUAGAUAUUAGGAGGAACACCAGCGGCGAAGGCGGCUUACUGGACGAUAACUGACGUUGAGGCUCGAAAGCGUGGGGAGCAAACAGGAUUAGAUACCCUGGUAGUCCCCU